CCUCCUUAACGAUAUUUCGGUUUUAAACGCCCACACGAGUAAUCAAAUAUAAAUAAAGAACAUAUUGAUAUGUAAAAUUUUUGGUAUGUAAUUUUCUAGUAUGUACAUUUAUGUACAUAUAAGAUCACUGCAAUUUAAUUAGAAAAGUAAUUAAUAUAUUUUAUUAAGUACUCUCAAAAAGCGAAUAACCUUUUUUAAGGUUAUAUGAUCAAGUAAAGGAAGAGCACAAGGCGGAUGCCUUGGCAGUAGAAGGCGAUGAAGGACGUAGUAACCUGCGAUAAGCUUCGGGGAGCUGGUAAACAAGCUUCGAUCCGGAGAUUUCCGAAUGGGGA
rnacentral:misc_RNA from 2 species